rnacentral:ncRNA from 1 species
GGCUUCUCCGGCGGCGAUGAAACCUUGUCCCGUAUUCGGGCGCUUGGGACAGGUGGAGCCAGUAGCGCGACCGGCCGGAAGAUCC